GUCCUAGCUUUGGUAGUACAUAUACUGAAAUUGGCAUGAUACAGAGAAGAUUAGCAUGGCCCCUGCUCAAGGAUUACCCACAAAUUCAUGAAGUGUACCAUAUUUUU
ensembl:snRNA U6 U6 spliceosomal RNA